UUGCCUACGGGUGGCAGCAGUGGGGAAUCUUGCGCAAUGCGCGAAAGCGUGACGCAGCAACGCCGCGUGGGGGAAGACGGCCUUCGGGUUGUAAACCCCUUUCAGGAGGGACGAAGGUUCGCCGGUGAAUAGCCGUGCGGAUUGACGGUACCUCCACAAGAAGCUCCGGCUAACUACGUGCCAGCAGCCGCGGUAAUACGUAGGGAGCAAGCGUUGUCCGGAAUCAUUGGGCGUAAAGCGCGCGUAGGUGGCCACAUAAGUCCGUUGUGAAAGUCAAAGGCUCAACCUUUGAAAGCCGAUGGAUACUGUGUGGCUAGAGUACGGAAGAGGCGAGUGGAAUUCCUGGUGUAGCGGUGGAAUGCGCAGAUAUCAGGAGGAACACCAAUAGCGAAGGCAGCUCGCUGGGACGUUACUGACACUGAGGCGCGAAAGCGUGGGGAGCGAACAGGAUUAGAUACCCCUGUAGUC
rnacentral:rRNA from 1 species